rnacentral:rRNA from 1 species
AUUGAACGCUGGCGGCAUGCCUUACACAUGCAAGUCGAACGGCAGCAUGAUCUAGCUUGCUAGAUUGAUGGCGAGUGGCGAACGGGUGAGUAAUACAUCGGAACGUGCCCUGUAGUGGGGGAUAACUAGUCGAAAGAUUAGCUAAUACCGCAUACGACCUGAGGGUGAAAGUGGGGGACCGCAAGGCCUCAUGCUAUAGGAGCGGCCGAUGUCUGAUUAGCCAGUUGGUGAGGUAAAGGCUCACCAAGGCGACGAUCAGUAGCUGGUCUGAGAGGACGAUCAGCCACACUGGGACUGAGACACGGCCCAGACUCCUACGGGAGGCAGCAGUGGGGAAUUUGGACAAUGGGGGCAACCCUGAUCCAGCAAUGCCGCGUGUGUGAAGAAGGCCUUCGGGUUGUAAAGCACUUUUGUCCGGAAAGGAAUCGCACUUACUAAUAUUAGGUGUGGAUGACGGUACCGGAAGAAUAAGGACCGGCUAACUACGUGCCAGCAGCCGCCGUAAAAC